rnacentral:lncRNA from 1 species
UGUCAGAUUGGCUAAGCCACACUCAGACCUGGACAUUCAUUUAUUGGAUGCACUUGGUGUUGUCAUGUUAAUGGUCAGAUCUAACCAAGAUUUUUAGUAAAGAUGCCAUACAUCUAUUGAAGAGAUGCCUAGGAUAAAAUCUAAAUGUUAGAAAUUAUUUGAUAAAAUAAUUGAUUAAGAACCUAUCUAUGGAUGCACUAGGAUUGAUCGAGCCCCACUUGGAUCUAAAUAUAAUUUGUGUGGAUUCUAAUACCUACUAAGAAACUAAUAUAAUUUUUUGAAUUGGAGGUAGAUGCUACCAAUUCAUAUAAAAUAGUGAGAGGACC